UGUAGGCACCUCCUCAUGUCACACUGAUGGCGGCCUUACAUGUCCCUGGCCGUCCACCACUGGUCAGAAGCCUGGUGUCCUCUGCCUCGGUCUCUGGCACCUCGGGCCGCUGAUGCUCCUCUGGCCCGGCCACCAUGCUUUCCCAGGGCAAGUUGACACUGCUGGUCCGGGGAACACAGUUUGAGAGGUACUGGUGCACCUCUUCCCGGAGGGGUAACGGGCGUUUCAAGAGUGACACCCCUUUGGAACAAGCCAUCACCAUGCCGACCAUCAAACAGAUGGACAGACGGCACUGAACGCCCCUACCCGUCCACGGCUGCCCAGGCGGCUCCCGAGCAGCCAUGCCUUGGGCCUCCUCCUUUUUGAUACAGUCACCUCUGUGUUUUGCAGACACUGGGCAAAGGGCAGAGAUGUUCCUGAUGGAAGAGUGGGCAGGCACACACAUUCCAGGUGCAAAUGCAACCGGAAUGCUGUUGGUCUACAAGCCAGUUUUCUGCAGCUCAAUUUCUGGCUAAGGGGACCAGGAAGAAGUGAAGGCAGAGGAGGCAGCCGGACUGCCUGCUGACCACGCCAUCCCAAUGGGCUGGGGCUCCCAGGCCCUCGCUGCCUGCUAGCUGUCCAGGCCGCAAACAAGAGCUUCCAGGUGUGCACUGCCCACCUGUGUGUUCCCAGCUGCCGCAGGCCUCCCGGUUCCAGACGCAGUUUCCAAAGGAGCCUCACCCCCUGCGCCUUUCCUUCUGCAAAUGGCUCUUCUGCCCUUCAAGGGCACGUUCUCCCGACUCUGCGAACCUAAGCACUUUUUUCCCACUAGAUCAAGGGUACUUGCUGCUGACUCAGUUUUACAGAAAACUCUUUAUCUGUGAAAUGACUCAUUUUGAUGUCACCAGCAAAGUAGGGUGAGAUACGGGGAAAAGUCUGGUCCAAAGUUCCUUAAAGAUUCUUUGUUUUAAAAAUAA